UACGGGGGGGGGCAAGCGUUGUCCGGAAUCAUUGGGCGUAAAGCGCGCGUAGGCGGCUCGAUCAGUCUGCUGUAAAAGUCAAAGGCUCAACCUUUGAAUGCCGGUGGAUACUGUCGGGCUAGAGUCCGGAAGAGGCGAGUGGAAUUCCUGGUGUAGCGGUGGAAUGCGCAGAUAUCAGGAGGAACACCAACGGCGAAGGCAGCUCGCUGGGACGGUACUGACGCUAAGGCGCGAAAGCGUGGGGAGCGAACAGG
rnacentral:rRNA from 1 species